rnacentral:hammerhead_ribozyme from 1 species
UUCCAGAUGGCGAGUCCCAAAUAGGACGAAAUGCGCUUUGUCCUGGAU